rnacentral:lncRNA from 1 species
CUCUGAAUAAAAUACAAAUAUCAAAGCCAUGUGUCUGCUUGUGGGUGCCACAUUCUUUAGGAUCACAGUGGCCGUCUUUAUGCACGAAUGUCGCAGAAACUGCUCGGUUUCAUCCCGCGUGAAUGAUGUGGCAAAAUUGUGAAAUAUGGGGUGGAAAAGCGCCCUCAAAACAGUCAAAGAAACCGCCAGAGCGCUGGAAAGCAGCUAUAGGGAAGCCAGUGCUGUCACUUUAAAAUGGCGAUGGGCCCCGGCGCCUUUGAAAUCAUUUAUCACAGAAGCCGUAACAUCUGCCACCAUCUUGGAUUCAUUCGAGAAUCUUUCUAGGAGGCGCUUUAGAGGGACAGCGUGAAGACAGCGCUUGUCUGUUUACAUCGCCUUUGGUUCAGCCGCCUUUUAUCACCAUCACUGACACGUUGCAAACAAGCCUGGGGAAAAGACAAGCAAGCGCUCAGGAAUGAACAGCUCCAGACCGGCUGGGGAUGGGCCGGACCCAGGGUUCUGGCACUAUCUCCUCAACAGACAGGAAGAAAAGCCAGCUGCUGAUAUGAGGAUGAUUUAGAAGCUAAGGUAGUGUAUGUAGAUCUUGGUCCACUCCCCUGAAGCAUGGGGGAGCAUAAGAGGUUUUUUGUUUGUUUGCCUGUUUGUUGUUUGUUUUGUUUGUUUGUUUGUUUUAUUGGGAAAAAGAGAAAAUUGGCUGGGGACCUCUGAAUUCAGUUCCUCUUUGUAAAUCUGAACCUGCAUUUCCAGAUGUCGCAAAUUCUCCAUCUGAACGCACAAGUCACAGCAGUUCCCUCACCAACCAGAGCGUUCAGAUGCUUUGAUGGUUACAUAUGCACUAUCACACAGCACGCAUAUGUACAUUGUGUCCACCAUCACCUUCCCCAAAUUCAAGUGAGUAAGGGGCAGUAGGUGUGUACUCCGGGAUGCUUAGCAGAUACCUGCCCCACAUACCUUGUACACUGUAGUUCUCAUGCUGGAGAAAAUCAGGUAAACACAUCAGCGAGGAGCUGCAGCAUGUUUUAACCACUGAUUUUCAGGCUGAGAUGAUUUCUGAGUGAUGGGGGGACUGGGACUUUGUAAUGUGUCAUGGUGAGCAAGUAUGUGCAGCUUACAUUAAUGAAAACCAGAAAUAGAUGAUCUCAGAUUUCAAUGACUCUGUGCUUUUAAACAUGACAUCUUUAUUUCAAAACACAAUGUGUACAACGCAGUUUUUGUUUCCUGAAGGUGCCUGGAAAAAUGUGAAUUCAGAGCUAAGCAAAGAAAAAAGACCCCUCAUACAUCUGCAGUAAAAUGAAGACGCAAUGAAGUUUUGAAGAAGUUAUGCUACAAGUUUCUGCACAGAACACUUAUUUAUAUACCAACAGAUAUGUUGGUCCACUAAUGAUGAAAUAUAUUCACAAUUCUGGCAGUGUUUUGAUUAAACUGAAAGAAGGAAAUAAAUUAGAGUACUCUAUUACUAAUGACA